rnacentral:tRNA from 1 species
GGACCUCUAGCUCAGUUGGUUAGAGCACCGGGCUCAUAACCUGGCGGUCCUGGGUUCGAGCCCCAGGGGGUCCA